rnacentral:lncRNA from 1 species
CAAUGAUAUCAGGUGUGUAAUCAUUAAUCCAAACAGUUGCAACUAGAACUAGAGUUUCUAUUGGACAAAUUCAGGUAGGUCCCUACCUGUUCCGUUUGCCUCCAUUUUAAGUAAGGUUUUGCAACAGAAUCUGCGUAAUGAAUACACCCUAGAGAGCUGCUGGUCUGGUUGAGUCUAUUCUCUCCUCUGUACCAGGACAAGGUCACAUCUUGCACACAUCUGAACAGCUCGAGCUUUAGAGCAAUGAACCAUUUGUUUGGAUGGACAAGGCUCAUGCUGCUAUAUUUCGUCAAUUAUGUUCUCUGUGCUUCCCAGCAAACAGUAAAGUCUGAGACUCAGCAGGUGAAAGGCAUUGUGGGACAGUCUUUAUCUUUUCCAGAGAGAGUGUUUAAAACUGGAUAUUUAAGGUAUGGAGAAGACACUACUGCAAGUGUGAUGAAUGGACAAAGCCAUGUAGAUUUAGAAGAGAGAUUUAAAAAUCGCGUUCACUGGGACAAUGUAACAGGAUUAUUCAGUCUGUCAGACCUACAGAUAGAAGAUGCUGGGGUUUAUUCUGUGGAGAAUAAAGACGGAGAGAAUUGGAUACCUAAAUUUAACCUCACUCUUUACUGUAAGUAUGUGCGUGUGUGUGCGUGUGUGUGUGUGCGUGUGUGCUAUAUUACAAAAACAUGAAAUAUAAGUUCCAUUCCUCCAAUGUAUUUACUAUUUGUCUUCCAGAUGUUGUUUCCAAACCUCAGGUGACAGAGUGUGACAGCAGCUCCUGUAGUGUAGUGUGUUCUGUGGACAACAAAAAAGAGGUUACCUUGACCUUGUACAGGGGAGAGGAAAUACUAAACCAGACCAGCAGUCCUGACCUCACCACCGAUCUAUCUCUCCGUUUGGAGGUAGAGGGAAAGGACUACAACUCCACCUACAGCUGUGUGGCUGCUAACCCUGUCAGCAAUGAGACAGUUCUUGUCCCAAAAUGUUGCAGUGAAGAUGGUCAUCCCAAGGAGACAGACAGUGAUGGGAUGACUCGGGGUAUGCUUAUUAUUGCUGUAAUCUGCGUUUUGGUUGCCUCAGGGCUGGUUGGACUUGCAAUCAAUCUAAAGCAGAGGGGAAAUGAACACUCACAAGAUUCAUCCGAAAGAGUGCAAGUUGACAUUGAGUAUGCAACGAUUACUUACAUAAAACAAACAGAUAACCAGGAGGAGCGAAGAGGUAUACCAGAACUGGAGUCGCAUAGAGACAACCCUGAAAUGGAAUCAGUUUAUGAUACACUCCAGUUACAUCGCAUGGCUGACAGCAGGGAUGUUGACACAGCAUGAAGGAACAAAACUGGAAGUCACUGAGAAGCCAACAUGAUAACUCAUAAAGAGGACAUUUAAACAAAAUGAAAGUAAAAUAAUAUUCACCCAGAAAACCUUUUAAGGCACAGUUGUUAUGGGAGAAAAUUCCCCUGCAACUGUUGCGCUGAUGUUAUAAUUUCAGGCUUUCUUUGUAGGUCAUUCUCACAGACCUUCUGUCAAAUAGAGGCCUCGAUGACAUCCACUGAUACGGACCAAUUCAAUAACUAUUUAUUGAGUUAGUAGCAGGGUCAGGAUAAUCCUUCUUUUCAGCUGCCUUUUGUCCCAAAUCCCACUUGUAUAUGUUAAAACAAAUGGAACAUAUAUUUUAAUACUGGGCACAACUGGUUUUGGAAGUGGGAGGACAUAACUUUUUAUCCUGUCGGAUAAACACUCCAAACAGCCUACCCGCCCACUCGGAGGCAUCCGUAUGGCCCUAAACCACACCAUUGCAUCGUUUUGUAUCACAUUCCAAUGAUAAAACUGGGGGGACAAAAAUGAUAUUUCAGAAUGUGGGGGGGAAUGUGGCACCCUUGGUGUUUGCUAUGCUACUGCUGGCCAAAGCUUCUUUUCAGUAAUGACUGUUCUGUUGUUUAAAUGUAGGUCCCUCACCUGUAUCAUUUAUAGCUGGUCAUUGUUUAGCUUGCCAGUGGAUAGCAGCUGUGUACAUAAUAGAAAAAAGCAGGCGUUUGAGAUAAAGCCUCCUACUCCUUAGCAGCAAUGGCUGUUAGGCUACUUUAGGUCCAUAGAUUUAAUAACAAAAGCUUUAAUAACAAAAGCUAUUAACAAUAGAUUUACUUUUUUUCUGUAGAUCUUGAUUUGCCAUUUGAUCUUGAGUGUUUUUAGACUCUUAUCGCUUUUCGCAAAAUUUUGUUCUGGCCUAACUUGUCUCUCUUAAUUAGCUUGUUUCAUUUAUUAUGAUGGAUCAUUUAUUUAGCUGAAAUAUGUAUAUCUGUCAUUCUUAUUGAAAGCAAGUCUAAGAAGUGGUAGAUAUGUUCUAUGUGCACUAUUUCUAUUUUUGCCAUGCUUGAGUUUUGCUUUUGUGUAUUUUACUUUUGGUUUUGUACAACAGCUUCAAACAGAGGAAAACACAAUAUUUUUCGUUAUGGAAAAUAUAUUCCACAGCGGUUUAGAUGGUACAAUGAUUCUCCUCGCUAUAGUUGCUUGUUUUAUCACAUAAUCAACCAGGAAAUGGAAAGAGUGAUUUCUGCAUAGAGCAUCUAUAACAUGAGAAGGUUUUGCGGAAAGAAAGUAUUUUUGUCAACCCAAUAGAUGGUUAUCACAUCAACUGGCUUCACACGGAGUGAUAGACAAACGUGGGCAACACACAGACAGACACGAGCAAUAUUGCUGGAUAUCAAUUGGCAAAUAUUGUGUUUAGUUAUUUUAACAACCAAUUAAUCCAAUAGCAAAAAAAAUAUGAUACAUGUUUCAAAAUUGCCCUUUGAAUGUAGUAUGCUACCGUGCUGUAGAUUCCAGUACAUUACACUGUUUUCACUUUAGGCAAUACACUUGCACUACCCAUAACAAUUUACUGAACAUACAAUUUCCAUAAUUCAGGCCAAAUAGUUCAAUCUUGGUUUUAUCACACCAGAUAAUCUUGUUCCUUAUGGUCUGAGAGUCCUUUAGGUGCUUUUUGGCAAACUCCAAGCAGGCGGUCAUGUGCCUUUUACUGAGGAGUAGCUUCCGUCUCGCCACUCUACCAUAAAGGCCUGAUUGGUGGAGUGUUGCAGAGAUGGUUGUCCUUCUGAAAGGUUCUCCCAUCUCCACAGAGGAACUCUGGAGCUCUGUCAGAGUGAUCAAGGCCUUUCUCCCUGAUUGCUCAGUUUGGCCGAGAGGACAGCUCUAGGAAGAGUCUUGGUGGUUCUAAACUUCUUCCAUUUAAGAAUGAUGGAGGCCACUGUGUUCUUGGGGACCUUCGAUGCUGCAGACAUUUUUUGGUACUUUUCCCCAGAUCUGUGGCUCGACACAAUCCUGUCUCUGAGCUCUACGGACAAUUCCUACAACUCCAAUCAAGUUGUCCAAACAUCUCAAGGAUGAUCAAUGGAAACAGGAUGCACAUGAGCUCAAUUUCGAGUCUCAUAGAAAAGGAUCAAAUUACUUAUGUAAGUAAUGUAUUUCUGUUUUGCGUUGUCAUUAUGGGGUAUUAUGUGUAGGCUGUAACGUAACAAAAUGUGGAAGAAGGGAAUGGGUCUCAAUACUUUCCCAAAUGCACUGUAUAUAUUAUAAUUUUUUGGUUUUUUUGUUGUAAAUUUCAAUUCACCACAGAAUAUAUUCUUACAAUGUAGCUAUGUGGUUGAGAGGGUAAAAUUCCAAUGAAAUGUACCAUCUUACUGCCCCUCAUGUUUCCAAUCUGUCUUAAUAAAGCAUAGAAAAAAUAAAGGUGGAAUUCCACAAAAACUAUUCUCAAUAGGCCCUUAAAAUCAAUAAAUAUUUACGCUUUAACCAUUUGCAUUUCUACACCAUUGUUUAUUGUGUUUUGAUGCUGCCUUUUACAUGCACUGAAAGCCCCAAAAAGUGUUUUCACAACACUCUCUUAACAAUUCCAAUAUGUAGGUUUAACGCUUCAUUUCUGUGUAUUAAAACAUUUACGUUGGGUUUACAUACAAACACCAGAUCUCAGUUUACUGCCUGCCCUACUGUACAGCACCUGCAUUCACAGGAAGGUCGAGAAGAUUAUAUCAAGUACCUCAGUCACCCGAGCCAAGGCAUGUUCACCUUGCUACCAUCUAGAAGAUUGAGACAGUAUAGGUGCUUCAAAGCUGUGAACGAGACUGAAAAACAGCUUCUACAGUUGAAGGUGGAAGUUUACAUACACUUAGGUUGGAGUCAUUAAAACUUGUUUUUCAACCACUCCACACAUUUCUUGUUAACAAACUAUGGCAAGUCGGUUAGGGCAUCUACUUUGUGCAUGACACAAGUAAUUUUUCCAACAAUUGUUUACAGACAGAUUACUUCACAUAUCAUUCACUGUAUCACAAUACCAGUGGGUCUGAAGUUUACAUACACUAAGUUGACUGUGCCUUUAAACAGCUUGAAAAAUUCCAGAAAAUGAUGUCAUGGCUUUAGAAGCUUCUGAUAGUGUCACGAUUCCCACCGACGGUGGUGCCCCCUCCUGCUAGGGUGGUGCUCGGCGGUCGUCGUCACCGGCCUAUUAGCUGCCACCGAUUCCCUUUUGCUUUUCCCUUUUUUUGAUUGUUGUAUGUCGACUGUCUUGUUCGUGUCGGCUUGGCAUUGUAUUUAUUCCCCUGUGCUUGGGAACUUUGUUUUUUCUUCAAAGUGUUAUUAAAAACACCACUCCCUGUGUUCGUUGCUUCCUGCGCCU